ACGCUGGCGGCAGGCCUAACACAUGCAAGUCGAGCGGUAGAGAGAAGCUUGCUUCUCUUGAGAGCGGCGGACGGGUGAGUAAUGCCUAGGAAUCUGCCUGGUAGUGGGGGAUAACGUUCGGAAACGGACGCUAAUACCGCAUACGUCCUACGGGAGAAAGCAGGGGACCUUCGGGCCUUGCGCUAUCAGAUGAGCCUAGGUCGGAUUAGCUAGUUGGUGGGGUAAUGGCUCACCAAGGCGACGAUCCGUAACUGGUCUGAGAGGAUGAUCAGUCACACUGGAACUGAGACACGGUCCAGACUCCUACGGGAGGCAGCAGUGGGGAAUAUUGGACAAUGGGCGAAAGCCUGAUCCAGCCAUGCCGCGUGUGUGAAGAAGGUCUUCGGAUUGUAAAGCACUUUAAGUUGGGAGGUAGGGCAUUAACCUAAUACGUAACUGUUUUGACGUUACCGACAGAAUAAGCACCGGCUAACUCUGUGCCAGCAGCCGCGGUAAUACAGAGGGUGCAAGCGUUAAUCGGAAUUACUGGGCGUAAAGCGCGCGUAGGUGGUUUGUUAAGUUGGAUGUGAAAUCCCCGGGCUCAACCUGGGAACUGCAUUCAAAACUGACUGACUAGAGUAUGGUAGAGGGUGGUGGAAUUUCCUGUGUAGCGGUGAAAUGCGUAGAUAUAGGAAGGAACACCAGUGGCGAAGGCGACCACCUGGACUGAUACUGACACUGAGGUGCGAAAGCGUGGGGAGCAAAC
rnacentral:rRNA from 1 species